GAGGCGUGGCUUCCGGAGCUAACGCGUUAAAUCGACCGCCUGGGGAGUACGGCCGCAAGGUUAAAACUCAAAUGAAUUGACGGGGGCCCGCACAAGCGGUGGAGCAUGUGGUUUAAUUCGAUGCAACGCGAAGAACCUUACCUACUCUUGACAUCCAGAGAACUUUCCAGAGAUGGAAGGGUGCCUUCGGGAACUCUGAGACAGGUGCUGCAUGGCUGUCGUCAGCUCGUGUUGUGAAAUGUUGGGUUAAGUCCCGCAACGAGCGCAACCCUUAUCCUUUGUUGCCAGCGGUUCGGCCGGGAACUCAAAGGAGACUGCCAGUGAUAAACUGGAGGAAGGUGGGGAUGACGUCAAGUCAUCAUGGCCCUUACGAGUAGGGCUACACACGUGCUACAAUGGCGUAUACAAAGAGAAGCGAACUUGCGAGAGUAAGCGGACCUCAUAAAGUACGUCGUAGUCCGGAUUGGAGUCUGCAACUCGACUCCAUGAAGUCGGAAUCGCUAGUAAUCGUAGAUCAGAAUGCUACGGUGAAUACGUUCCCGGGCCUUGUACACACCGCCCGUCACACCAUGGGAGUGGGUUGCAAAAGAAGUAGGUAGCUUAACCUUCGGGAGGGCGCUUACCACUUUGUGAUUCAUGACUGGGGUGAAGUCGUAACAAGGUAACCAAGGGCGAAUUCGCGGC
rnacentral:rRNA from 1 species